rnacentral:misc_RNA from 1 species
GAAAUGCGAUAAGUAAUGUGAAUUGCAGAAUUCAGUGAAUCAUCGAAUCUUUGAACGCACAUUGCGCCCGCCAGUAUUCUGGCGGGCAUGCCUGUUCGAGCGUCAUUACAACCCUCAGGCCCCCGGGCCUGGCGUUGGGGAUCGGCGGAAGCCCCCUGCGGGCACAACGCCGUCCCCCAAAUACAGUGGCGGUCCCGUCGCAGCUUCCAUUGCGUAGUAGCUAACACCUCGCAACUGGAGAGCGGCGCGGCCACGCCGUAAAACACCCAACUUCUGAAUGUUGACCUCGAAUCAGGUAGGAAUACCCGCUGAACUUAAGC